AACAUCGCGCACCUGCGGGAACCUGCGGAGGGAUCAUUACAGAGUUGCAAAACUCCCUAAACCAUUGUGAACGUUACCUAAACCAUUGCUUCGGCGGGCGGCCCGGGUCCUUCCCGGCGCCCAUCGGCCCUCGCGGGCGCCCGCCGGAGGUAAACCAAACUAUUGCAUUGUAUGGCCUCUCUGAGUCUUCUGUACUGAAUAAGUCAAAACUUUCAACAACGGAUCUCAGAUCGGAAGAGC
rnacentral:misc_RNA from 1 species